CGUAAAUGAUCUGCAGCAGGAAGCUGGCCAGCGUGAUCAGCUUGCUGUCGGGAGCCGGGAAGAAACCCUUCAGCAGGCAGUGCCGGGCCUCGUCAAACAAGAUGAGGAUGGCCAGCGGAUCCUCCACCUGCAGUGAAAAAAGGCAAGCGGACGUCCCUGCGGAGGAAGAGCUGAGCCGUCUCCCUUUGCGGGUCCAGCACAGUCAGAUCUGUCACGAUCUCCGUCCAGAUGCGCAGGUGCUGCAAUGGCUUGUGGUACGGCUUCAGCUGCAGGUCUGUGACAUAUGCAGUCUACAUUUGUAUUCCAAAGAAAUACUUAUACCUCUGAAAAAAAAAACAGUUAGUGGUCUCAAAACACAAAGCCGUCUUUUAAGAGCGCAUCCUAAAAAUAAGGGGGAAUUCAUAUAAGAUGUGAAUCAGCUUUAGAAAGUCAUCUCACGGAGGUUUUCAGAGCAGAUCCAUAUGGUGAAGUACUGCUGGGUCUCCUGGGACAGACGCAUUCCCUCCAUGAUCUGCUGCACUGUGGUGUUGUUGCCGUGCCUCAGCUCCACGGAGCGGUAUGAGCCAUCCAUGCGGUAGAUGCGCACCUUCUCGUACUGCAAAGAACAAAAAAAA